CAAAGCAGUUUGAUAAUAUUAUCGAUUUGCACGCAGGGUGUGGAAAUUAAUCUGGAAAGAUCAUGGAAGAGGGAAACAAUGCACAAUUUAGCAAUGUUAUAAAAUCCGGUCGUUAAUUCCAUCCAUUUUUUCCGUUAAGUCAAGGGUAUUUCCGUCUUUUUUGUUAACUUAAGGGCGAUUCGGUCUUUUUCAAGGGUAUUCGGUCUUUUUACAUAAAGUGAAAAAGACCGAUAUGCUCUUGAUGAAGAUUUUUUAACAGCUUUGGAAUACGGAAGGCCACCCGCGUCAGGAAUGGGACUUGGGAUUGACAGGCUGGUGAUGCUUUUAAGGUUCAGCAAUAAUAUAUAUCGAAGUUUUGAAUUUCAGGUUUCGUAUGUCCAAGUCGUUGUUCCUAAAAAUUGUUAGUGACGUGGAAGCGUAUGACGAGUGGUUUCAAGAAGGCUUAGACGGGAGAAUGAAGAAAAGCUUUACACCGUUGCAAAAGGUUACUUCGGCAAUUAAACAACUUGCAACCGGUAACCCACCAGACGAGGGGGACGAGUAUUUAAAUAUGUCUGAAAGGACCUCUCGUGAGUGCCUUGAAUAUUUCUGCGAGACGGUUUGUAAAAGGUAUGGCGGUGAAUUCCUACGUAGACCAACGAGCCACGACAUCGCGCUAUUGUAUCAGGCUCAUGAGGAUAGGCAUCACCUACCUGGUAUGUUAGGGAGUCUGGAUUGUACACACUUCGUCUGGAGAAUGUGCCCCACAGAAUUGCGUGGACAAUACAUGAGAGGCGAUCAUCAAUACCCGACGAUUAUGUUAGAAGCGGUAGCGUCUCAAGAUUUGUGGAUUUGGCAUGCUUUUUGUGGGCCAGCGGGUUCACAAAACGAUAUCAACGUGCUGCAACAAUCUCCGUUAUUUCUUGCUCAACGAAAUGGAACGGCGCCAAAUUGUCCAUUUCAAGUGAACAACCAUUUAUACAAACGCGGGUAUUAUCUUACUGAUGGGAUCUACCCUACCUGGUCCGUGUUUGUGAAGUCUUUUCCAUAUCCACACGACCCGAACGAAAAAAAAUUCAAGAGGCAACACGAGGCCGCAAGAAAAGAUGUGGAACGGGCGUUUGGUGUGUUAAAGUCGAAGUGGGGAAUACUAAAUCGUCCAAUGCGUUCGAAAACGGUGAAAAAAAUAAGGUCCAUCGUGUAUACGUGCCUUAUUUUACACAACAUGAUUAUAAAAGACGACGGAAGGGCGAUAGCACCGGUUCAUAUUCAAGAUCCUCCAGUCGAACCCGUCUUCGAU
rnacentral:lncRNA from 1 species